rnacentral:rRNA from 1 species
GGCUUGUUGAGUAUAAUUUCAAGUCUGACCUGCCCUAUGAUUUAUUAAAUGGCCGCGGUAUAUUGACCGUGCAAAGGUAGCAUAAUCAUUAGUUUUUUAAUUGGAAGCUUGCAUGAAAGGUUUGAUGAAAAAUUUACUGUCUCUGUAAAAAUUUAUUAGAAUUUUAUUUUUAGGUUAAAAAGCCUAAAUAUUCAUGGAAGACGAGAAGACCCUAUAGAGUUUUAUAUAAGUAUUUUCAAAAGAUUUUAGAGCUAGGAAAAAUUUAUUGAAAAUUUUUGUAUUUUGUUGGGGUGAUAGAAAAAUUAAUAAAACUUUAUUUUAAUAAGAACAUUUAUUUAUGAUUAUUUGAUCCUAUUAUUUAGAUUAAAAGAUUAAAUUACCUUAGGGAUAACAGCGUAAUUUUUUUUAGAGUUCUUAUCGAAAAAAAAGAUUGCGACCUCGAUGUUGGAUUAAAUUUUAUAGUUGGUGAAGAAGCUAAUGUAAUUAGGUCUGUUCGACCUUUAAAAUUUUACAUGAUCUGAGUUUAAACCGGCGUGAG